GUAGUCAUAUGCUUGUCUCAAAGAUUAAGCCAUGCAUGUCUAAGUAUAAGCAAUUAUACCGCGAAACUGCGAAUGGCUCAUUAAAUCAGUUAUCGUUUAUUUGAUGGUACCUUACUACUUGGAUAACCGUGGUAAUUCUAGAGCUAAUACAUGCUGAAAACCCCGACUUCGGGAGGGGUGUAUUUAUUAGAUAAAAAACCAACGCCCUUCGGGGCUCUUUGGUGAUUCAUGAUAACUUCUCAGAUCGCAUGGCCUUGCGCCGGCGACGGUUCAUUCAAAUUUCUGCCCUAUCAACUUUCGAUGGUAAGGUAUUGGCUUACCAUGGUUUCAACGGGUAACGGGGAAU
rnacentral:rRNA from 1 species